rnacentral:rRNA from 1 species
GGGCCCGCACAAGCGGUGGAGCAUGUGGUUCAAUUCGACGCAACGCGAAGAACCUUACCCAGGCUUGAACUGCAGGUGACAUCCUACGAAAGUAGGCUUCCGCAAGGACACCUGUAGAGGUGCUGCAUGGCUGUCGUCAGCUCGUGUCGUGAGAUGUUGGGUUAAGUCCCGCAACGAGCGCAACCCUUGUCUUCUGUUGCCAUCGGGUCAUGCCGGGCACUCUGAAGAGACUGCCGGUGACAAACCGGAGGAAGGUGGGGAUGACGUCAAGUCAGCAUGGCCUUUAUGUCUGGGGCCACACACGUGCUACAAUGGCCGGUACAAACCGUCGCGAGCCCGCAAGGGGGAGCUAAUCGGAGAAAGCCGGUCUCAGUUCGGAUUGUAGGCUGCAACUCGCCUGCAUGAAGUUGGAAUCGCUAGUAAUCGCGGAUCAGCACGCCGCGGUGAAUACGUUCCCGGGCCUU